rnacentral:rRNA from 1 species
CCUACGGGAGGCUGCAGUAGGGAAUCUUCCACAAUGGGCGAAAGCCUGAUGGAGCAACGCCGCGUGGGUGAAGAAGGUCUUCGGAUCGUAAAAUCCUGUUGUAAGAGAAGAAAGUGCGUGAGAGUAACUGUUCACGAUUCGACGGUAUCUAACCAGAAAGCCACGGCUAACUACGUGCCAGCAGACGCGGUAAUGCGUAGGUGGCAAGCGUUAUCCGGAGUUAUGGGGCGAAAAGGGAACGCAGGGGGUCUUUUAAGUCUGUUGGGAAAGCUUUCGGCUUAACCGGAGUAGUGCAUUGGAAACUGGGAGACUUGAGUGCAGAAGAGGAGAGUGGAACUCCAUGUGUAGCGGUGAAAUGCGUAGAUAUAUGGAAGAACACCAGUGGCGAAAGCGGCUCUCUGGUCUGUAACUGACGCUGAGGUUCGAAAGCGUAGGUAGCAAACAGGAUUAGAUACCCUUGUAGUC